rnacentral:tRNA from 1 species
GACGCGGUAUGGAAGAGGCCAAACCAGCGGUAUCUGCACUACCGUGCCCUCUUUAAGGGCUUCGUGGGUUCGACUCCCACCCGCGUCU